rnacentral:rRNA from 1 species
CCCUUAGAUGUUCUGGGCUGCACGCGCGCUACACUGACAUACUCAGCAAGUUUCCUUGCCUGAAAGGGUUGGGUAAUCUUGUUAGUGUAUGUCGUGAUGGGGAUAGAAUAUUGUAAUUAUUGCUCUUUAACGGGGAAUUCCUAGUAAGCGCAAGUCAUCAGCUUGCGUUGAUUACGUCCCUGCCCUUUGUACACACCGCCCGUCGCUCCUACCGAUUGGGUGAUCCGGUGAAUGAUUCGGACUCUGGCUAUGCUAGCUACUAGCUACGUCAGGGAAAGUUUUGUGAACCUUAUCACUUGGAGGAAGGAGAAGUCGUAACA